rnacentral:rRNA from 1 species
CUCGUAGGUGGCCAAUUAAGUCAGGCGUGAAAUCCCCAGGCUCAACUUGGGAACUGCGUCUGAUACUGGUUGGCUUGAAUUCGGGAGAGGGAUGCAGAAUUCCAGGUGUAGCGGUGAAAUGCGUAGAUAUCUGGAGGAAUACCGGUGGCGAAGGCGGCAUCCUGGACCGAGAUUGACACUGAGGAGCGAAAGCCAGGGGAGCAAACG